AUUUUGGUGGCUGACUAAUAGGCGAUAGAUUGUAAAUCUACUUAUGGUAAUACUACCCCUU
rnacentral:tRNA from 1 species